rnacentral:tRNA from 1 species
CUGGGAAUGGCUCAGCAGUCCAGAGCACUGACUGCUCUUCCAGAGGUCCUGAGUUCAAUUCCCUGCAUCCACA